GAAUAAAAGUCAAACAGAGACAAAUUAUUGUUAAUAAUUUUAAUAGAUUAAAAAUCUUUAUUCAAG
rnacentral:tRNA from 1 species